rnacentral:rRNA from 1 species
AACCUUCCUAGAGGUACGGAACAACGCAGGGAAACUUGCGCUAAUACCGUAUACGCUCUUGCGAGGAAAGAUUUAUCGCCUUUAGACGGGCCCGCGUAAGAUUAGGUAGUUGGUGAGGUAACGGCUCACCAAGCCUACGAUCUUUAGCUGAUCUGAGAGGAUGAUCAGCCACACUGGGACUGAGACACGGCCCAGACUCCUACGGGAGGCAGCAGUGGGGAAUCUUGGACAAUGGGCGCAAGCCUGAUCCAGCCAUGCCGCGUGAGU